AGAACGAACGCUGGCGGCAUGCCUAACACAUGCAAGUCGAACGAGACCUUCGGGUCUAGUGGCGCACGGGUGCGUAACGCGUGGGAACCUGCCUUGAGGUUCGGAAUAACUCCCCGAAAGGGGUGCUAAUACCGGAUAAUGUCUUCGGACCAAAGAUUUAUCGCCUUUAGAUGGGCCCGCGUUGGAUUAGCUAGUUGGUGGGGUAACGGCCUACCAAGGCGACGAUCCAUAGCUGGUCUGAGAGGAUGAUCAGCCACACUGGGACUGAGACACGGCCCAGACUCCUACGGGAGGCAGCAGUGGGGAAUAUUGGACAAUGGGCGAAAGCCUGAUCCAGCAAUGCCGCGUGAGUGAUGAAGGCCUUAGGGUUGUAAAGCUCUUUUAUCAAGGAGGAAGUUCUGACGUGUACUUGAUGAAUAAGCAUCGGCUAACUCCGUGCCAGCAGCCGC
rnacentral:rRNA from 1 species